rnacentral:lncRNA from 1 species
GAUCACACCAGAAUCUGAAGACUGUGAGUUUCUCCUCUGUGUGUCUGUAUCUUGUAUUAUUAAGGGCCAUGCCAUUAACCCUACAACAGGUCUGUUGAACCGCUGAACAUUAUAUGGAAGGACACUUGAGGCACAAAGCAUUCUUUUGGGCAGUGUGCAAUGUGAGUUUUUCACCUGUGAUAUUUUACAAAGACUGACAGGUUACUUUAAUUGUGUGUGUGUGUGCGCAUGUGUAUCAUCACAGGUGAUCAAAGACUCAUUCAUAACCUGAUUUUGGAUUCUGGAAUCAUCUGGCAGCUAGCAUCUAGAGUGUGGAAGAACAAGGAUAUCCAAACCCAUCAGCCUAGAACAGCAUGAAGAUGGAACUGCUAAAAGAUCAUCUAUGUAAGGGCUUUGAUAGUCGCGUUGCAGGAAUGAGGCGCAGGAAGCAACGAACACAGGGAGUGGUGUUUUUAAUAACACUGAAGCAAAAACAAAGUUCCCAAGCACAGGGGAAUAAACACAAUGAGCGACAAUGCAAAGCCGACACGAACAAGAAGUCGACAUACAAUAAUCAAUCCCGCACAACAAGGAGCGGGCCAGCUAAACUAAAUAGCCCCUCUAAUGGCUAAUUGACCACAGGUGUCCAAAAGCAAAAAAAGGGAAAAGCAAAAGGGAAUCGGUGGCAGCUAAUAGGCCGGUGACGACGACCGCCGAGCGCCACCCGAGCAGGAGGGGGCGCCACCGUCGGUGGGAAUCGUGACAAUCUAGGAAUCCUCCCUUCCUCGUGGAGCUUUUUGAAGGCUAUGAAAAAAGACAAAAGACAUGACAUUGACUCCUGAGUGUUGAACUUUUGCCCACUCUGUAGCCUCCCUGGUUAUUAUAUGACCCUGAUGGUCAUCUACGAUUGUUGGAACGUCUUUAAUAACAAUAAGGGGCAUAUGUACUCUUAAAUGUCCACUCAGCACAGCCCUCGGAGCAUGGUUCCUCUCUAGUUUUAAUCCUAGGUUUAUGACUUCUAGGGAGUGUUUCCUAGAUGCUGUGAAUCGGCAUAUGCAUUGAUGGGUCUUAGAUUUUUAGACUGGGUAUCUGUAAAACACUGACAACUGCUGAUGCAAAAAGGGGUUUUAAGAAAUACAUUUGGUUGAUUGAAAGAUUUGUAUUAUUAUCAAAAUAAUAUAACAAUAGUAUUAUUAUAAUCAUAAUCUUUAUUAUUAUUAUGUUACAGGUGUGACAUACCCAGAAAUGUCAACGUCUUGUCAAGUGCUCAAAUCUGUACAGCAGCCCCAGACAAUCAUGUACAGUAGGUCCAAUUUACAAGAAUGGGUUUACAAGGCAGUGAUGAAAACAGUUUAUAUGAGCGCUAAUUCAAACAUACAAUGAUAUAUAUUCGAUACAAUUACCCAUUCAAAACUAGUGUUACAAAAUCACUUCUCAUUGUGUUCAUUUCAAGGUUUCACAAACAUAAAACAACUAUCUAGUUAAUGUUUCUUGGACUAACACACUGUUGAGUUUCCUAUUUACUGAAGAACAAUCAUUAAGACAAAACACAAAAAGUUGUAAUGUAAUCUGUAUACAUGUCAUUCUAUACUGAAAACAGGUACAUUCUGAAAGAUUUUGAUGAUGUUGAUGUGAUAACACAUCUUUUUAUUCAUGUCUCAAUUUAGGAUAAUAGUGUUUAUUUUAAUUUUACUUAAAUUGUAUUAUUUAUGUUGUCUCAUACCAUGCUAAUACACUACCAAGCAAUGCAAACAGAUGUGGAAUUUACCCCAUAACAGUUGUGUCUUUUUGGAUCAAGAAUUGAUCAAGAAUUCCAAUAGGCGUGAUCAGAUCCUCUUUCCAUGCAGGCAUCAUAUAAUGCACAGCCACAUGCAAAUCCAUAAACUCCACCAAUAAAACAUUGAAAACCUU